ACCGCGUCCUUCGCGACGCCGGAGCGCGGGGGGUCGCGGUGACGUCACGAGCGCGCCCGAAGGUGCGGCCGAGUGGAGCCUGGCGGGUGUGCAGGAGGUCCGCUCCGGAAACCGCAAGUUAGCGUCCCCGGACUCUAUUGUGUUGUAAAAAAAAAAAAAAAGAAAAAAAGAAAAAAGUUAAAAAUUCUUUCGUCUUAAGGGACUGAGCACAACUUCUAGAGCUUUCUUUCCAGCGUAGAUUACGUUUGCUGUUUCCUGUGCCCCUUUUCGGCCACGACAGCUUCGUGCCUGAGCUCAGGGUGCCCCGAGCCGAACUUCCGACCUUGUUUUCUGACGCUGGAAAAUCUCUUGAACUAGCUCUUGGGAGCGUCCUCGGUGUUCGUCGACUUUAGGAAAUGACGCAGUCACAGCCCCCGUUGCGGAUUCAGGCCGAUGCUUGAGCGAUUUCUGAUACUUCAGUUGAAAGCAUGCGUAUGUGUUUUCAGUAGUUGCACACCUGUGUCGGAGACACUUGCUCGCGUGUUCCGCAGUUGGCCCAGCGGCUACAGGGGCCUUCCCAAGAGCUUCAUCGCCCUCGGGGGCCGAGUGCCCACCCUUCCCACACGCGGUGAUACGCCUUCACCUCCCCUGGUCCUUCCGAACUACCUUCGUUUCCAUUUCUGCGCAUCCAGAUACCGCCUUCAGGCCUCUCCUCAAGUGCCUUCAUGACUUUUUUUUUUUUUUAAUUAACCAAACAAAUAAAUACUUCGUCUUGUGAAUUCACAUAGCAGUUUCUCAGUGCUUCUCUUGUAGAGCUUAGGACUCUGUAUUCUAUGCUAUUUAUGUGCAGUUUCUUUACUAGAAAUUACAUCCCUUGAUUAAAAAAGGAUGGGUGUCUCUGAA